rnacentral:lncRNA from 1 species
CUCACCGCUUGAGGGCACCUUCACAGACUGUUGCCGAGAAAGGGAGAUGAAAUCGGCAGGGGAGGAGGUGAGACUCAGCUUGGAUUAGGCUCGUCUUUGCUUCUGUGGGUUUACGGAUUACAUGAUUGCAGGGCGGGUUUUAUGUUCAAUACCUAUUUGAGUCAAUGUUGCACUGCGGUACAGCAUAGUUAAUAUUUUUUGUGAGUGCUGCUUCUAACAAUCAGAUCAAUACAAUUAAACUUUAAGCCAGCAGUUUUAAAGUGAAUGUCUUAAUACUUGGCACCAGAGUUGAUAGUUUAAAUCUGAUAUAUUGGAAAGAAUACAUAUCUUAGGGGAGUACUAAUGGGAAAAGAGUUGAAAUCAGGUAGACCUGAUUUGGAUAAUAAUCAGCUAGUCAAUUAGCCUGUACCGCAGAGAUCCCUACGAGACUGUAUUUGGUCCGUCUCGUACCGCAGAGAUGUCUUGGCCGUGGCCGUACAGUAACACCUUCGAGAAUCCAGAGCACUGCCCACAUAUUAUUUUAUGCUCGAGGUGCAAGGAUGCAGAUCAUUUAACUCUGAGUCUGUUCUUCUUUGCAGCUGUCCUGAAGGGUGGAUCUGACUAACGUGCUCUAGCCCUGACUUUCACGGAUUCCUUGCUGUCUGGUGCUGACACUAACUGGCGCAAACCUCCGCAGAAGCCCCUUCCCUGGACAGAAUCACAGCAAAAGCAUCCCUGCUGUUUGUCACCUCUGUUUGGAUCCACCUGGCUUUUCCUUGGUUCUGAUAAGGGGUCUAGUUCAGCUGCUGCUCCGGCUCCUGAAUUUGUUGAGUCAUUUCCCGUCAAGUCAAAGAGGUCCCGACUCAACACGUGCUCAGUGGUAGGCAUCGCUUUGCAUUUGUGCUCCGAGUGGAGUUAGUUGUUUUUCCAUGCACGUUGUCACCAUCUUUGAGUCAUUUAGGUGGUUGAGUCAUUUAGGGUCCGUUUAAUUUGGGAGCGUCAGAAUCAGCUACUUUGCCAAAUCUGAAAGUAAAUCCUUGUAUUUAUUUUCUCCUUUGCCACAGGCAGCUGUGUCACCUCGUGCAAAGGUGGUACCGCUGGUCCUUCGUUCUGUUAAUGCAGGGAGGACGAUAGCAUUAUCUUCGCCCAGGCUUAUGGAUGUCAGCUGUCAAGUCCCUUAAUUCCGGAAGAACCUCCAGAGAACUGGCCACAUGCAGUGAGAUGUUGGAAAAGGGAUUUCUAGAUGGUUGGCUUACCCAUCCCUGUGUGAAAGGUUGGGUAUAAAAUUCUAUCAGCCUGCCUUCGUCAAACCCAUCACUUCUCAUAGCAUUCAAAAAUGUGAAUUUCAAUAUUUAAAAUUUCAAUAUUUGCGGUUUUUGAGAUAGGCAAACAU